rfam:Calocera viscosa TTFC12733 unplaced genomic scaffold CALVIscaffold_5, whole genome shotgun sequence.
GCUGUGUUGACCGAGAGGUUAAGGUGUCUGACUUGAAUUUAUUUCGAGAUCAUAUGUGCAAUGCACGCGUAGGUUCAAAUCCUGCACACAGCG